ACUUCAGCAGGAAAUAUAUUUACGGUAAAUUGGAAUGAUACUGAGAAGAUAAGCAUGACUCCUGAGGAAGGAUGACAUGCAAAUUCUUGAAGCAUUCCAUAUUGUU